rnacentral:ncRNA from 23 species
GCAGAAUUGAGUGUUCAAGGUGCCUGCUUGCAGGAGAAUAGGAAAGUCAAGUGAAAAGCUUGCACGGUCACGCCGCUGUAAAGGAGAAGUUUUAUUUCACUAUGUCACUGGAGCUUACUGGGAAGACGAAAUAAAAUGCUGAUGCCUGAGUCAGAAGACCUGCCUUGUACAUGCGAUUUACA